GUCCAGAGCCAUACCACCCUGAAUGUGCCCUAUCUCCAUCUCUUCUGAUCUUGGAAGCUAAGCAGGGUUGGGCCUGAUUAGUACUUGGAUGGGGGAAUGGUACAUUUUUACC
rnacentral:rRNA from 1 species